GAUGAACGCUGGCGGCGUGCCUAAUACAUGCCAGUCGAGCGAACGGACGAGAAGCUUGCUUCUCUGAUGUUAGCGGCGGACGGGUGAGUAACACGUGGAUAACCUACCUAUAAGACUGGGAUAACUUCGGGAAACCGGAGCUAAUACCGGAUAAUAUUUUGAACCGCAUGGUUCAAAAGUGAAAGACGGUCUUGCUGUCACUUAUAGAUGGAUCCGCGCUGCAUUAGCUAGUUGGUAAGGUAACGGCUUACCAAGGCAACGAUGCAUAGCCGACCUGAGAGGGUGAUCGGCCACACGGGAACUGAGACACGGUCCAGACUCCUACGGGAGGCAGCAGUAGGGAAUCUUACGCAAUGGGCGAAAGCCUGACGGAGCAACGCCGCGUGAGUGAUGAAGGUCUUCGGAUCGUAAAACUCUGUUAUUAGGGAAGAACAUAUGUGUAAGUAACUGUGCACAUCUUGACGGUACCUAAUCAGAAAGCCACGGCUAACUACGUG
rnacentral:rRNA from 1 species